GUCGAUCGCUCUCUUCGGAGAGAGAGGCGCACGGGUGAGUAACGCGUGGGUACCUACCUUGAGGUACGGAAUAACCACUGGAAACGGUGGCUAAUUUGGCGUUGUGCCGAUGCGGUAAAGAUUUAUCGCUAAGAGAUGGGCCCGCGUCCGAUUAGGUAGUUGGUGAGGUAAGAGCUCACCAAGCCUACGAUUGGUAGCUGGUCUGAGAGGAUGAUCAGCCACACUGGGACUGAGACACGGCCCAGACUCCUACGGGAGGCAGCAGUGGGGAAUAUUGGACAAUGGAGGCAACUCUGAUCCAGCCAUGUCGCGUGAGGGAAGAAGGCCUUAGGGUUGUAAACCUCUUUCAGGUGUGAGGAUGAUGACAGUAACACCAGAAGAAGCCCCGGCUAACUUCGUGCCAGCAGCCGCGGUAAUACGAAGGGGGCGAGCGUUAUUCGGAAUUACUGGGCGUAAAGAGCGUGUAGGCGGUCUAAUUAGUCAGCUGUGAAAUCCCGGGGCUCAACCCCGGAACUGCAGUUGAUACUGUCAGGCUUGAGCCGGAAGAGGUGAAUGGAACUCCUAGUGUAGAGGUGAAAUUCGUAGAUAUUAGUGAAGAACACCAGUGGCGGGCGAUUCACACUGGUCCAGUACUGACGCUGAGGUGCGAAAGCGUGGGGAGCAAACAGAAUUAGAUAACCUGGUAGUCCACGCCGUAAACGAUGAAUGCUAGCUGUUGGGCAGUAUACUGUUCAGUGGCGCAGCUAACGCAUUAAGCAUUCCGCCUGGGGAGUACGGUCGCAAGACUAAAACUCAAAGAAAUUGACGGGGGCCCGCACAAGCGGUGGAGCAUGUGGUUUAAUUCGAAGCAACGCGCAGAACCUUACCAGCUCUUGACAUCCCGAUCGCGGUUACCGGAGACGGUUUCCUUCAGCUAGGCUGGAUCGGUGACAGGUGCUGCAUGGCUGUCGUCAGCUCGUGUUGUGAGAUGUUGGGUUAAGUCCCGCAACGAGCGCAACCCUCGCCUUUAGUUGCCAGCAUUUAGUUGGGCACUCUAGAGGGACUGCCGGUGAUAAGCCGGAGGAAGGUGGGGAUUACGUCCAGUCCUCAUGGCCCUUACGGGCUGGGCUACACACGUGCUACAAUGGCGGCGACAGAGGGCAGCGAGACCGCGAGGUCGAGCUAAUCUCCAAAAACUGUCUCAGUUCGGAUUGUUCUCUGCAACUCGAGAGCAUGAAGUUGGAAUCGCUAGUAAUCGUGGAUCAGCAUGCCACGGUGAAUACGUUCCCGGGCCUUGUACACACCGCCCGUCACACCAUGGGAGUUGGUUUUACCCGAAGGCAGUGCGCUAACCGUCAAGGG
rnacentral:rRNA from 1 species